CAGAAUUUAACUAACUUUCCAAAAGAAGAAACAUUAAAUAAAUGGUAAAAUUAAACUAAAGACCAAAUUUCCCCCUCGCCUGGUGAACAAAUGGAAUGGUCUGCUGAGGAAGUUUGACAACCAUAUAUGGACACCAAUCAGCUGGAGCUCAUCUCUGAUUUUCAGCCACAGGUCCAGAGGAAACUGGUAACUCAAAAGAAAAAUAAUUAAUUUGUUGUAUUUAACAAAAUAUACAAAGAACUGACACAUAAAGUUAACUAAAUGGGUGCACAACAAAUAGUUAACUAAAGAGUCAGACUAAUGAAAACAAAUUUAAAGAUAAAAAUCUAAACUACUCACUAAUCAAUACAUAAAGUAAUAUUAAGGGAAAACAAAAAACCAUUACCAACAGUGUCUGCGUGUGACAGUCGGGACAGCUGUCACAAGGUGUCAAUCGCUGAAUGUUAUGU